ensembl:lncRNA
CAAAGGCUAGCUAGCAAACUAAAGACAUGACAGAUUUUCUCUGGCUGUCUUAGCCACUUGUCAGCAGUUGUUAGGUCCUGUUAUUACUAGUGCAAUGCUAGCGCCAUGCCUGCCCCGCCGUAAUGUUUGAUCCCCGCCGCCUGUAUCAUCCCCCCCGUCAUAAUGUCUGCACCCCGCCGUAAUGUUAUACGAUUGUAUAAGGGAGCACUACGUCACAGCCACGUAUGAAAACAUUUAAGAAAAUAUAUUAAAAGGGAAGAUCGGAACAACUGAUUCGAACGUGGGUCAAAAACACAUUCAGCGAGCUGCCUCAAACCGUGCGCCACAGAGCAUCACCAAGUGGUCUUGCCGUUUUGUAUAAUUUAUCUAUUAAGUUGAAGCAGAACGGGAUGGAUAGAGGAAAUCACCUGGUGUAGGGGACCCCCUGUAUUGGCUACCCCCUGGGUUGAAUGCACUCAUUGUAAGUCGCUUUGGAUAAAAGCAUUAGCUAAAUGAAAAAUGUUAAACUAAGUUAAAGAUGAGCAGCGGCAUCAUCUUGCCAAGGUUGUGUUGACACCACAAGAGUUUCAUUUCUGACCGUGACAUUGGAGCUCACUGUGACAAGACCAUGGACGCAAUGCUUCAACUAUACUACUGGCCUGGCAUGAAGGCCGAGAACGAGAAAUGGUUGGGUGUUACGACUUUAUUCUGGGGAGCCUGUGGUAAUAUUUAAACAUUCAAUCUCAGUGUUUUUCGAUUGAAAAUGUUUAGAUUCGCCAAUGUGAUGCCUGCCAAAAGAAGAGGACCUGGUUUUCAAUACAUUUGUGUGAUGGUGGACUAUUUCAUAAGUGGCUUGAGGUAUACCCGCUGAAAACCAAGAAAUAGCCGUGUGUGUAAUUGAUUGCUUCUAUAAAUAUGGCGCCCCAGAGCCUAUCCUCACCAACCGUGGAAAGGAAUUUUGAGGCAAGUAAUUGUACUGUAUUCAUGGUCACAUUAACAAUGGAAAAAUCCUCAUGGUAUUCCAAAUAAGUUGCCCUCUUGGGCAUUUUCAAGAUGAAUACAGAGUUGUGCCAGAAACUUUGACCAUUGACAGAAGCCUCUGUGCUCCAUACCACCCUCAAACCAAUGGCUUGGUUGAAAAACUCAAAUGGCACAAAUCAAGGAGUUUUGAAAAAAUGGUCUAGGAUCACCCAGGUGACUGGGACCAAUACAUUAAGUCCAGUGUUUGGCCUAAGAACUAAAAAACAGCAGACUACAAAGUACUCCCCAUAUAUCUUUAUGUAUGGGAGGGAAACUCUGUAUCCUUCCGAAAUACCAGUCGAGUGGCAGACAUCUGAGGACCAUAUUGGUGCUCACCAGGAAGCUUUCAGGAGGAUAUCGAGAAAAUCGACCAUCUCUCAGAAAAUAUGUGUAACCUGAAGAUCAAAUUCCAGGCAAAUGGAUGUCAGCGGCUUCUACUCCACCUCUGCAGUCCAGCCCGUUGUGUUUUGUUCCACAAUCUCCUCUUGCUGACAAGCAAACAACUCCCCAACCUGUCUCCUUGACCUCCACUCCCCAGAGGAACGCAAUCAUGGCUGACAUCUGGGCGGGUAAACGCCGAGGUGUGCUGUGGAGCAAAGUGGGGCCUUAUAAAAUAUUUGCCGCGGACAUGCAGAACUUGGCCCCCGGAAGGGAAAUAGAGAGCGGUACAGGCGGUAAGUGUUUACUUAUACUUAUAGUGUUCACUUAUAAUAUAAGUGUUAUAUUAUUUUCGCCAACAAUAUUUAACACCUUUUAAUCAUUACUAAACUAAAUGCAUGAAUUCACAACAUCUUGGAGCGGCAAGAAACGAAGAUGAAAGUGCAUUAUCUAGACUCCUUCCAAAUGACGUCUAUCUAGCACAGAUGUUUCGGAAGAUUAAAAAAAAGGUAAUCUGUUCAGAAACCUUUAAAGAUACAAGCAGCAUUUCAUUCAUAACGUGUGUACUUUUCAGCUGGACCACUUGUCCUUCGAUGUCGUCAUAGGACCGGGUUGCCACAAACGGCACUGGACACUUGUGGUGAGAAUAGUUAAUACUAUCAAGAAUAAUGUGAGGACAUUCCACACUUUUGUGUGGUAAUCUUGCAUGAUUUAAAUGUGACCUUAAUUACAUAGGAUAAAUCACCUUCACAAUACAGCUAAGGAAAACCGGACAAUUUACCUUGAUCCGUUAGGUGACCCCCCAGACAACUUGACUAGAUGCAAGGAUGUGACAAGAGCAUUCAUGAGAAAUAAAAAUAUCCAUGUUUCAAGAUGGAAUUGUUCAACCUGGAGUUGUUGAGCCACCCAAGACAGCAAGCCUCAACAUCCUGUGGGGCAAUUGUCUUCAAGAUCCAGUGCUCAACACGCACUCUGUGGUUCCACUGGAUUUGCCCCUGGGAAACUACCUCUGGAGCAGCUAACUUCUGCUGUCCAGCAUGUUUUCUUUAGAGAUACUUUUGUUUUUCAAUGAUUUAUGACUGUUAAAACAUUUAAUAAACUGUCCUUUGAGAACUUCAUGAGAUUUGAUUCCUAAUAGAAUGUACAAUCUGUCUCCCUCAAUUCCUUGACUUUUUGUUGGUGCAUCGCUUUUGUUCGGAAAGAUGUAUGGCCUCAUGGUGCUUUUAUAGGGACGCUGCUUAUUAACUUUAAUUGGGUGACAAUUAAGAAUGAAUAUAUUUUUUUGGGAUGUGGUCCAAGACACCUCCAAGGUAACGAGUUGUUUCAGGUACCCUAUACCAGGUUUCCUCCAUACCGAUGUGAUUGCAUUAAUAGAC